AUGUACAUUCCUACAAAUUAGUGUUAAUGCAUCGGAUCCCAUUAGAACUCUGCAGUUAAAUGUGCUCAAGAUAGAGUAGUACUAGGAUGGGUGACCGCUCGGGAAGUCCUACUAUUUUACAUG
rnacentral:rRNA from 1 species